AUACGGAGGGUGCAAACGUUGUUCGGAAUUACUGGGCGUAAAGCGCGCGUAGGCGGUUUGUUAAGUCAGAUUUGAAAGUCCACAGCUCAACUGUGGAAGUGCAUUUGAAACUGGCAGACUUGAGUACUGGAGGGGGUGGUGGAAUUCCCGGUGUAGAGGUGAAAUUCGUAGAUAUCGGGAGGAAUACCGGUGGCGAAGGCGACCACCUGGCCAGAUACUGACGCUGAGGUGCGAAAGCGUGGGGAGCAAACAGGAUUAGAAACCCUAGUAGUCC
rnacentral:rRNA from 1 species